rnacentral:misc_RNA from 1 species
AACUCUCAAACCGUAUCUUUAUUGAUAUCGGGCUUGGAUUUGGACGUUGCUGGACGCAAAGUUCGGCUCGUCUCGAAUGUAUUAGCUGUAGAUUUCGAUUUUUUCAGUUAAACCGUGUGAUAAUACAUCAACGCGGGCAGCCGUCAAAGGCGCUGGAUCGUUAUUCGAAGGCUUCUAAUCGUCCUUUCAGGACCGCCUUUACUGGCGUUUCAUUUCAC